UACGAAGGGGGCUAGCGUUGUUCGGAAUUACUGGGCGUAAAGCGCGUGUAGGCGGGUCGUUAAGUCGGGGGUGAAAUCCCAGAGCUCAACUCUGGAACUGCCUUCGAUACUGGCGACCUGGACCCAAGUAGAGGCGAGUGGAAUUGCGAGUGUAGAGGUGAAAUUCGUAGAUAUUCGCAAGAACACCCGUGGCGAAGGCGGCUCUCUGGGACGGUACUGACGCUGAGACGCGAAAGCGUGGGGAGCGAACAGG
rnacentral:rRNA from 1 species